GUUACAUAAUGUCAGUCAUUUGCGCAUCAAACAUGGCUUCUCUAACAUUUUACGAAUGCUAGUUAAAUAAAGAGAAAAUCGAUGAAUGCUCUGAAAGGAAAAUGAAUAUGAAACGAAAUGUCAUGAAAGAAUUAUUUUGUGAAAUUGCAAAGAAAUAGGAAAUGACUCGUUAUUGACAAAGAAAAGCAAGUAAUAACCUGCGAUGAUGAUGGUGAAACUCAAACCUCCAGAAACAGAAAGUUAUGGACACUUUGCUGGCAGAGUCUAGAUGUGCCUGCAUAUAUAAUAAUCGAACAUACUACACCAGAACCAUUGGCAUCACAGGAGGUUGUCACCCUCUCCAACACUGAAAAAGUCCUUACAUCAGGCUCUUGAAAUGAAGAUUUAACACUCUCUGUGACAAACAGGACUUAAACCUUGAUUAUAAUUAGGAGUGUUUUGAAUAUCAAUAUGAACUUUUGAAUUUUGACAGAGUGAUGAUUUUCAUAAGAGACAUACUAUAAAGCCUUUAUAAAGAAAUAAGCUGCUAUUGAUGAAUAAAGCAAUGUUAUUAC